GUUGGUGGGUGACUCUGGAGUCCAUGAAGGGAAGGCAGCGACAGCCCACCGAUGACUGGAGGAAAAAGUAAGGGGUAUGGAGCUGCUGGGUAGUGAGUCAUAUGUCCAUUCACUGCCGGCACUGGACAUGUGCGGCUGCUGGUUGUCAUGUUAAUAGCUCACAGUGUAUAAAUAAUAUGUUGCAUCACUCCAGGCCAGCAAGCAGAUACUUGAACUUGUAAAUGGAGAGGGCUGUCAAGCCUGCAGGUGUGGCUUGAGCUGGACUGUGUGAUGGUGAAGAGGUAAUUCACUAGAUCAGUCCCGUCCUAUAUUUCAUUGCUGCUUCCUACUGUUCUCUUGUCCAGACAUUCCUGCUCUGAAGACUGUGGACAGAAAGUUGUCUUAGUCCGUGUCUCAGACCACCAUUCAGUUGUUUAUUCAAAUGUUUUUCUGUGAGGAUAGUUGCUCUCUACAGAUGCAUACUGAUGGAGUCGCCUUAACUCUACCUUCGCU
rnacentral:lncRNA from 1 species